rnacentral:rRNA from 1 species
AACGAACGCUGGCGGCAGGCCUAACACAUGCAAGUCGAGCGAACCCUUCGGGGUUAGCGGCGGACGGGUUAGUAACGCGUGGGAAUAUACCCUUUGGUACGGAAUAGCCUCGGGAAACUGAGAGUAAUACCGUAUGUGCCCUUCGGGGGAAAGAUUUAUCGCCAAAGGAUUAGCCCGCGUUGGAUUAGGUAGUUGGUGGGGUAAUGGCCUACCAAGCCUACGAUCCAUAGCUGGUUUGAGAGGAUGAUCAGCAACACUGGGACUGAGACACGGCCCAGACUCCUACGGGAGGCAGCAGUGGGGAAUCUUAGACAAUGGGCGCAAGCCUGAUCUAGCCAUGCCGCGUGGACGAUGAAGGCCUUAGGGUUGUAAAGUCCUUUCAGAUGGGAAGAUAAUGACGGUACCAUCAGAAGAAGCCCCGGCUAACUCCGUGCCAGCAGCCGCGGAAAGUAUCGUACG